UACAGAGGGGGCAAGCGUUGUUCGGAAUUACUGGGCGUAAAGGGCGCGUAGGCGGCCGCCUAAGUCAGACGUGAAAUCCCUCGGCUCAACCGGGGAACUGCGUCUGAUACUGGGUGGCUUGAAUCCGGGAGAGGGAUGCGGAAUUCCAGGUGUAGCGGUGAAAUGCGUAGAUAUCAGGAGGAACACCGGUGGCGAAGGCGCACAUCUGGCCCGAUACUGACGCUGAGGAGCGAAAGCGUGGGGAGCGAACAGG
rnacentral:rRNA from 1 species